GUUUUUUUAAUGUUUGCAGCAGUUCUCACGAUAUUCAAGCUUUCCCACAGUCCAGUAUCUCUUCCCACCUCAGGUUGGAGGAAAUUCUCCAAACACUGCAGCACAGUUUGAAGAAGGCAGACGUUGGUAACGUGCGUCAAGCACUGAGGAGGCUGGGCUGAGAUGGAGGUUGCUGCCUGCCCGGGCUGGAAAUGGCUCUCCUACGGCCUCCUCUCUGAUGGAGCCCGACAGAGGGCGCCGAGGAGUAAAGGCAGAGGUGGAGCUGUGUUCAAAAGCUGCUGCAAAGAAGCCCACGAUGCCUGACAGACUGUGCCGGCUGAGUUCCGCUGUUUCGUGUUUCCCACGUCAUCAGGGGCAACAUUUAACCACCUUAAACUUGUAAAGAAACAAACCAAGAACAUAUCACAACUGUAACUAUACAGGAAAUAAACAAAAAUCAAAAGUA